CCUCCCCCGUUUAGGCGAUAAGGCGCGAGGCGUCCACCGCGCGUGCGCGUAGGGGACCUUCGUUAAUAACUUCUUUCUUGUUCGGGCGUCUGACGAGAAACAAUAAUAGCUUUCUCCCUCUUUCCUGACUUCAGGAGUGUGUGACUUCAGCUGGGACACCUAAACUCGGCCGACCCAACCAAGCCGAAGCUGCACCCUCCCGCGAGGGAGGUGAUACGUAUUAGAGACGGUCAGGCGUUUAUGGUGAUGUGUAAGGCCUUUGAGUCGUUAUCACCACAUCUCGAAGUGGCGAAAGUGAAAAGAACUCGGAAAUAGCAAAAGCACCCCAAAUGGGGUAGAGGAAAAUGCUUUCACCGACGUUUUUAAAAUCAUCCUCACAGAACCUUGUGAAGUGUACCUCUGGAUUAUUCUCAUUUUACAGACUGGGAGGGAUAUCCUGAGAUGGUACUUGCUCAAGAAAAUCACACACAGGCAGGGCUCAAAUUCGAGUCCCUGGCUUCCCGUUCAGUUUUCUCUAAAACGAACUUAGGAUUUAUGUCAACUCUUCGGGGUUAUCACUACUGGAUACCGGGUACUUGCAACCUCAAAUAAAGCAGCACAGAAACACAGCACAGGAAGAGCUGGCAGGCAGCUGAGUUUUCUCUGAAAAGAUACCUGGACCAGAAAGUGUUGGUUCUACCCUAUCUGCCAGAGACUCACCUAAAUCCAAUUACGAAUCUUAAUUCUCUGACCCUGAUUGAACCCCUGCCCUGGCAGUGAAAGCUGUGAGACCUAACCACUGGACCACCAGGGAUUUCCUGGUUUUCUCUUUAGAAGAAGCAAUCUGGCUGACCUGUUGAAGACAGACUAUCAGCGAGCCAAAGCAGAGGCAGAACCCAGUUUUUGGCUGCACCUUGUAGCAUACAGGAUCCUAGUUCUCCCACCAGGCAUCAAACCCACGCCUCCUGCAGUGGAGUAGAGUCCCAACCACUGGACCACCAGGGAAGUCCCAGUGUUCAAUAUUUCUUAAGGAUAUUUUCUUUGCUUUCAUGUGUUUCUCCCUCAAGGAUCAUGCAUUCCCUAAUUAUAUUUGAAGAUGGGAGAGGCAAGUUGAUAAAGGAAAACUGUCAUCAUUCCUACCACCUCACCUCAACAUAUUCAGACUAUCUCAAUGGGACACUUUCUAAGGCCAUUGUUACUUUUAACAGAAAUGUGAAAAAGAUAGGGAAAGACAAAAGCACUUUGGUGGGUUAAUCAUUAC
ensembl:lncRNA